rnacentral:rRNA from 1 species
GAUGAACGCUGGCGGCGUGCCUAAUACAUGCAAGUCGAGCGAAAAGACGAGGAGCUUGCUCCUCUGACGUUAGCGGCGGACGGGUGAGUAACACGUGGAUAACCCACCUAUAAGACGGGGAUAACUUCGGGAAACCGGAGCAAAUACCGGAGAAUAUAUUGAAGCGCAUGGGGCAAUAGUGAGAGACGGUGUUGGUGUCAGUUAUAGAUGGAUCCGAGCUGCAUGAGCUGGUUGGUGAGGUAAAGGGUUUUGAAGGCGACGAUGCGUAUGCGAGCGGAGAGGCUGUUCGGCCACCCGGGAGCUGAGCCACGGUCCAGACUCCUGCGAGACGCCGCAGUAUGGAAUCGUCCGCAGUGGUGGAAAGCCUGACGCAGCAGCGCCGCGUGAGUUAUGAAGAUCCUCGGUUCGUAAAACUCGGUUAUUAGGUAAGAACAAAUUUGUAAGUAACUAUGCCCGUCUUGACGGUACCUAAUCAGAAAGCCACGGCUAACUACGUG